rnacentral:rRNA from 1 species
GAGUUUGAUCAUGGCUCAGAUUGAACGCUGGCGGCAGGCCUAACACAUGCAAGUCGGGCGGUAGAGAGAAGCUUGCCUCUCUUGAGAGCGGCGGACGGGUGAGUAAUGCCUAGGAAUCUGCCUGGUAGUGGGGGAUAACGCUCGGAAACGGACGCUAAUACCGCAUACGUCCUACGGGAGAAAGCAGGGGACCUUCGGGCCUUGCGCUAUCAGAUGAGCCUAGGUCGGAUUAGCUAGUUGGUGAGGUAAUGGCUCACCAAGGCGACGAUCCGUAACUGGUCUGAGAGGAUGAUCAGUCACACUGGAACUGAGACACGGUCCAGACUCCUACGGGAGGCAGCAGUGGGGGAAUAUUGGACAAUGGGCGAAAGCCUGGUCCAGCCAUGCCGCGUGUGUGAAGAAGGUCUUCGGAUUGUAAAGCACUUUAAGUUGGGAGGAAGGGCAGUAAAUUAAUACUUUGCUGUUUUGACGUUACCGACAGAAUAAGCACCGGCUAACUCUGUGCCAGCCGCCGACCG